GAUGAACGCUGGCGGCGUGCCUAAUACACGCAAGUCGAGCGAACAGACGAGGAGCUUGCUCCUCUGACGUUAGCGGCGGACGGGUGAGUAACACGUGGAUAACCUACCUAUAAGACUGGGAUAACUUCGGGAAACCGGAGCUAAUACCGGAUAAUAUAUUGAACCGCAUGGUUCAAUAGUGAAAGACGGUUUUGCUGUCACUUAUAGGUGGAUCCGCGCCGCAUUAGCUAGUUGGUAAGGUAACGGCUUACCAAGGCAACGAUGCGUAGCCGACCUGAGAGGGUGAUCGGCCACACUGGAACUGAGACACGGUCCAGACUCCUACGGGAGGCAGCAGUAGGGAAUCUUCCGCAAUGGGCGAAAGCCUGACGGAGCAACGCCGCGUGAGUGAUGAAGGUCUUCGGAUCGUAAAACUCUGUUAUUAGGGAAGAACAAAUGUGUAAGUAACUAUGCACGUCUUGACGGUACCUAAUCAGAAAGCCACGGCUAACUACGUG
rnacentral:rRNA from 1 species